rnacentral:rRNA from 1 species
CACUCUAGACGAACUGCCGUUGACAAACGGAGGAAGGUGGGGAUGGACGUCAAUCAUCAUGCCCCUUAUGUUCUGGGCUACACACGUGCUACAAUGGCCGGUACAGAGGGUUGCCAAGCCGCGAGGUGGAGCCAAUCCCUUAAAGCCGAUCGUAGUCCGGAUCGUAGUCUGCAACUCGACUACGUGAAGUCGGAAUCGCUAGUAAUCGCAGAUCAGCAUGCUGCGGUGAAUACGUUCCCGGGUCUU